CCCUUAGAUGUUCUGGGCCGCACGCGCGCUACACUGACGAGGUCAGCGAGCAUCUCCUACGCCGAAAGGUGCGGGGAAUCUUGUGAAACUUUGUCGUGCUGGGGAUUGAUUUUUGAAAUUCUUGAUCAUCAACGAGGAAUUCCUAGUAAGCGCAAGUCAGCAGCUUGCGUUGAUUACGUCCCUGCCCUUUGUACACACCGCCCGUCGCUACUACCGAUUGAAUGGUUUAGUGAGAUUUUUGGACUGGAACUCUCUUGUUCAGCAAUGAACGAGAGGGACUCUGGGAAGCUAUUCUAACUGUAUCAUUUAGAGGAAGUAAAAGUCGUAACA
rnacentral:rRNA from 1 species